CAUAUCCAGGUGGUUGUUCAACGAAAACCUCUUCAUUGAUCUCUCCAUGCAAGAAAGCUGCUUUGACGUCGAGUUGGUAAAUCUUCCAGCUCAUUUGUGCAGCAAUGGAUAUAACCAUCCGAAUUGUAUCCAUUCGUGCCACUGGUGCAAAUACUUCAGAAAAAUCCACUCCAUAUCGUUGGCAAUAUCCCUUCGCAACAAGCCGAGCCUUAUACUUGUCUACCUCCCCAUUUUCAUUCAAUUUUGUCUUGAAAACCCAUUUGACUCCAAUGGUUUUUCCCCAUGUUGGUAGGUCAGUCAAUUCCCACGUAUGGUUCUUCUCUAUUGUUUCUAUCUCUCUAUCCAUUGCUUGUUUCCACUUUUCACUUUUCACAGCUUCACAAUAGCUAGUAGGAUCGCCAUUCGUAAACAAAGCUAGAUGAGCCAAGUUCAUACCUUCUUCAUCAAAGAGACCUUCACCAGCGUCAUAGUCUCUCAUCCAAAUUGGUGGCCUUCGAGCUUGUCCCUCUUGAGGUGCACUACCUUCAUUUAUGGCAUUUUCUGAUUCAAAUGAAUUAUUGCCAUCUGACCCAUGAACGUCAGUUUCUUCUUCAUCUCCUUCAUCUUCUUCUUCAUUUCCUUCAACCCCAGAAUCAAGAUCAUCUAAAAUAUUUUGCUCAUGACUGUCAUCCCAAUUCCACUGUUGAUCUUCUUCAAAUACUACAUCUCGACUUAUGAUGAUUUUAUUUGAAAUAGGAUCAAACAAUCUAUAAGCUUUGGACUCCUCACUUACCCCCAACAGUAUACAUUUGAGGCUUUUGUCAUCAAGCUUCAAUCUUUUGCUAUCUGGUACGUGCACAUGAGAGAUGCAAUCAAAAACCCUAAAGUGCUCUACCGAGGGUUUGCG
rnacentral:lncRNA from 1 species